CCUUUGACGUUAGCGGCGGACGGGUGAGUAACACGUGGGUAACCUACCUAUAAGACUGGGAUAACUUCGGGAAACCGGAGCUAAUACCGGAUAAUAUUUCGAACCGCAUGGUUCGAUAGUGAAAGAUGGUUUUGCUAUCACUUAUAGAUGGGCCCGCGCCGUAUUAGCUAGUUGGUAAGGUAACGGCUUACCAAGGCGACGAUACGUAGCGGCCUGAGAGGGUGAUCGGCCACACUGGAACUGAGACACGGUCCAGACUCCUACGGGAGGCAGCAGGG
rnacentral:rRNA from 1 species